AUUUAUAUAGUAUAAAAAAAUUAUUUUUGAUUUCCAAUCAAAAGAUCUAACUAAUUAGUAUAAAUA
rnacentral:tRNA from 1 species